rnacentral:tRNA from 1 species
GUGUAUAGCUCAGUUGGUAGAGCAACUGACUCUUAAUCAGUGGGUCGAGGGUUCGAGUCCCUCUGC